rnacentral:tRNA from 1 species
GAGGGUAACAGCUCAGUGGUAGAGUGCGUGCUUAACAUGCACAAGGUCCUGGGUUCUAUCUCCAGUACCUCCA